rnacentral:rRNA from 1 species
UACGAAGGGGGCUAGCGUUGCUCGGAAUGACUGGGCGUAAAGGGCGCGUAGGCGGAUGGCACAGUCAGAUGUGAAAUUCCCGGGCUUAACCUGGGGGCUGCAUUUGAUACGUGUUGUCUUGAGUUCGGAAGAGGGUCGUGGAAUUCCCAGUGUAGAGGUGAAAUGCGUAGAUAUCAGGAGGAAUACCGAUGGCGAAGGCAGGUCUGCUGGGCUGACACGUGACGCUCAUGCACGAAAGCGUGGGGAGCAAACAGG